rnacentral:SRP_RNA from 1 species
GCCAGGUGUGGUAGUGCAUACCUGUAGUCCCAGCUACUCGGGAGGCUGAGGCAGGAGAAUCGCUUGAGCCCGGGAGGUCGAGGCUGCAGUGAGCGGUGGUCACGCCACUGCACUCCAGCCUGGGUGACAGAGCGAGACCCUGUCUCAA